GGCCAGACAUGGUCACACUUACCCCUGCUCCUGCAUGGGGGACAGGGAGGGUCUGUGGGGCUCCCUCAGCCCUGGGGCUCAUGGGAUUGGGCCCCACUGACCCAGCCUGGUCUGUUGCAGUGAGAAUGAGGCUCUGUGGCGGGAGGUGGCCAGCCUUCGGCAGAAGCAUGCCCAGCAACAGAAAGUCGUCAACAAGGUGGGGGCAGGGCCAGAGGGCCGGCGGGGGCCCCACAAGGGCCGGGGUAACUGUGUCCUCUCUCUCCACAGCUCAUUCAGUUCCUGAUCUCACUGGUGCAGUCAAACCGGAUCCUGGGGGUGAAGAGAAAGAUCCCCCUGAUGCUGAACGACAGUGGCUCAGCACAUUCCAUGCCGAAGUACGGCCGGCAGUUCUCCCUGGAGCACGUCCACGGCUCGGGCCCCUACUCGGUGAGUGCC
rnacentral:sRNA from 1 species